rnacentral:rRNA from 1 species
UACGUAGGGGGCUAGCGUUGUCCGGAAUCAUUGGGCGUAAAGAGAGUGUAGGCGGCCCGGUAAGUCCGCUGUGAAAGUCGGGGGCUCAACCCUCGAAUGCCGGUGGAUACUGUCGGGCUAGAGUGCGGAAGAGGCGAGUGGAAUUCCUGGUGUAGCGGUGAAAUUCGUAGAUAUCGGGAGGAACACCAGUGGCGAAGGCGGCAACCUGGGCCAAUAUUGACGCUGAGGUGCGAAAGCGUGGGGAGCAAACAGG